GUUCCUUGGAAAAGGACAGCUGAGAGGGUGAGACUCCCGUCCGCCUGGUAGAAUGAGUCUUUGUCAACGAGUCGAGUUGUUUGGGAUUGCAGCUCUAAUUUGGUGGUAAAUUCCAUCUAAAGCUAAAUAUUGGUGGGAGACCGAUAGCGUACAAGUACCGUGAGGGAAAGAUGCAAAGAACUUUGAAAAGAGAGUUAAAGAGUACCUGAAAUUGCUGAAACGGAAGCGAAGGAAACCAGUGUUUGUUGGUUCAUAUUUCCCUUGUCACUUGUGAUGUGGGCGCUGUGAGCUUGCGUGGGUUUGCUUUGGUUGAUUCCUUUGGAAGAGCGCAGUCAGAGUUGAUGUCU
rnacentral:rRNA from 1 species